rnacentral:rRNA from 1 species
CCUACGGGAGGCAGCAGUGGGGAAUAUUGCACAAUGGGCGCAAGCCUGAUGCAGCCAUGCCGCGUGUAUGAAGAAGGCCUUCGGGUUGUAAAGUACUUUCAGCGGGGAGGAAGGCGAUGUGGUUAAUAACCGCAUUGAUUGACGUUACCCGCAGAAGAAGCACCGGCUAACUCCGUGCCAGCAGCCGCGGUAAU